GACGAACGCUGGCGGCGUGCCUAACACAUGCAAGUCGAGCGAGUGAAUCUCCUUCGGGAGUGAAGCUAGCGGCGGACGGGUGAGUAACACGCGGGCAACCUGCCUCAUAGAGGGGAAUAGCCUUCCGAAAGGGAGAUUAAUACCGCAUAAGAUUGUAGCUUCGCAUGAAGUAGCAAUUAAAGGAGCAAUCCGCUAUGAGAUGGGCCCGCGGCGCAUUAGCUAGUUGGUGAGGUAACGGCUCACCAAGGCGACGAUGCGUAGCCGACCUGAGAGGGUGAUCGGCCACAUUGGGACUGAGACACGGCCCAGACUCCUACGGGAGGCAGCAGUGGGGAAUAUUGCACAAUGGGGGAAACCCUGAUGCAGCAACGCCGCGUGAGUGAUGACGGCCUUCGGGUUGUAAAGCUCUGUCUUCAGGGACGAUAAUGACGGUACCUGAGGAGGAAGCCACGGCUAACUACGUGCCAGCCGCCGCGGUAAGAC
rnacentral:rRNA from 1 species